UCCCAGCUCCUGAUCUCUCUUUGAUCCCCACUGUUGCACAGAAUGACGAACAGGUUUUGUUUUGGUGGGUAAUUGAUCAGAAGUCUCCUGCCACCCGAAUCAUCUUCUGCAAGGAUGGGGUGGAGGUGCACGGCCUUAGAGCUCAACAUCGGAAGGGCAACUACUACAUGCUCUUCCCCAUGACGAUGGGGAGCACAGGGACAUACACAUGUAGAUACCAGCACAAGAAAAACAGCUGUCCAGUGAGGAACUCUCCCCUCAGUGUUUCUAAGAACCUGAACUUCGCAGGUGCUGGUGUGAUGGCCCAGGACAUCUGCAGCUCCCCAAGGGAUGGUGACCUCCAAGCUCCGUCCCUCCAUAUGAAAACCAAUGUCACUUUGGAUGCAACACAGGAAGGAGAACAGAUUUUGUUUCAGUGCCAGUCAUGAAGUCUGCUCUCACCCGAAUUUUCUUCUGCAAGGAUGGGGUGGAUUUUCACAGCCUGAAAGCCCAACAGAAGAAGGGGAGCUACUACAUGUUCUUCACCACAAUGAGGAGGAGCACGGGGUCAUACACCUGUGGAUACCAGCACAAGGACAACAGUAGCCGAGUGAGGAACUCUGCCCUCAGUUCUCCCCAGAACCUGAAAGU